rnacentral:rRNA from 1 species
UACGUAGGCAGCGAGCGUUGUUCGGAGUUACUGGGCGUAAAGAGUGCGUAGGCGGUGCUCCAAGUCUGGUGUGAAAUCUCCCGGCUUAACCGGGAGGGUGCGCCGGAAACUGGGGUGCUGGAGUGUGGGAGAGGUAAGCGGAAUUCCCGGUGUAGCGGUGAAAUGCGUAGAUAUCUGGAGGAACACCGGUGGCGAAGGCGGCAUCCUGGACCGAGAUUGACGCUGAGGCGCGAAAGCCAGGGGAGCAAACGGG